rnacentral:rRNA from 1 species
GAUGAACGCUGGCGGCGUGCCUAAUACAUGCAAGUCGAGCGAACAGACGAGGAGCUUGCUCCUCUGACGUUAGCGGCGGACGGGUGAGUAACACGUGGAUAACCUACCUAUAAUACUUGGAUAACUUCGGGAAACCGGAGCUAAUACCGGAUAAUAUAUUGAACCGCAUGGUUCAAUAGUGAAAGACGGUUUUGCUGUCACUUAUAGAUGGAUCCGCGCCGCAUUAGCUAGUUGGUAAGGUAACGGCUUACCAAGGCAACGAUGCGUAGCCGACAUGAGAGGGUGAUCGGCCACACUGGAAGUGAGACACGGACCAGAAUACUACGGGAGGCAGCAGUAGGGAAUCUUCCGCAAUGGGCGAAAGCAUGACGGAGCAACGCCGCGUGAGUGAUGAAGGUCUUCGGAUCGUAAAACUCUGUUAUUAGGGAAGAACAAAUGUGUAAGUAACUAUGCACGUAUUGACGGUAACUAAUCAGAAAGCCACGGCUAACUACGUG